rnacentral:lncRNA from 1 species
CCUACCUUCCCAACUCGUUCCAUCUCCGAUAAGGGUACGCAUCACCAUUGAUCUUAAACCACUACUGCUAGACUUAACCUAUGUAAAAAUAGUUAGAACUAUUUAAAUAACAAAAAAUAUUAUACAUAUAUAUAACAUGAUUCAUCAACCUUAAGCUGAAUAUAUCCAUGCAUGCAUAGAUUUGUGGUGGUUUUUGUAGUAUGUUAAAAGUUAUUCUAAAGUUUAUUAUACACUUGUGAUUUUAUGUUAUGAUCAGAAUCGGGUGAAGGUGGAAACGUGAGAUCUUACAGUGGGGAUUCACCAGAGGAUGCAAUGAAAGUGACACGUAGUAUCAUGAUAAUGAAACCAGCUGGGUAUCAGAGUAAUGGAUCAGCACCUGCUUCUCCCGCCGGUUCUACUCCUCCGGUGUCUCCGUUUUCCGGUAAGGUACUUUCAAUAAUAAAAUGUCUAAUUAGACCUUGGCUUUCUGGGAGCUAUGUGGAGUGUGUCUUGAGUGAGUGAGAGAAGCUCAACUUUGUAUAGAGGGGUAAUUCUGUCCUUUAGGCUUAUUUUUUAUUUUUUUUGCUUCUCUUGUAUAAAUAUCUUUUUCCAACUAUAUGGUGUGAUAAACUUCCAUGAUCUAGAGUUUUGUCGUACCUACAGUGCAAUUAAUGAAUGAGUGCUUAUACAUAGACACACAUAGGUAGCAUACAUCCCUUAAACCUCCACAUAUAAAUGCAACAUGUGGCAAUGUGGGUUCAAAAUAAUUACUUAUCCUUUGUUUCACAUUACCAAAAUAACCUCCCACAUAAGUGUAUACAAGAGUGGUACGAAAAAAAGGUAUCUAUCUAUAUUUUCCCUUAAUAAAUUUAUUUUAAGUAAAUUUAAGAUUACUUUAUAAUGAUGAAAACUACCGAUACCAAACUUUAAUUUUCUCAUUCUCAUAGUUAUAAAAGAAUUCCAGAAUUCUCCUUUUACUUAUUGUAAAAACGUGAAAACAAAUGGGUUAAAUGAGGAGGGCGUGAAAAUAAAACGCUUCACAUGGGUUGGGGACCAUAUGAAAAUACAACAGUUCUUUUCAUUAAUUUUUUUAAUCAAUGAUUCGUUUUACAUACGGUGAUAACAAACCGUAUGUAAUGUGGAAACCAAUUUAGACCCAUGGAGUCAUCACAACAAACACACACACACACACACUUAUAUGGUGGGCUAGUCAUCUCCUCAUGAUAGCCAACUACUAUACAUUUUAUUUACUAAACUUUUUGUGAUUUAUAUAUUUUUUAUGAUCAAAAUUGUACUAUUGAAUGCGUGAGUAUUAUUAAGGAGCUUAUGCUGAUAAAUGAUAACGAUUUUUUCUAAUACAUUAAUAAACAUGGCAAUGUGCAAUUUGCUUAAUGUGUUGUAUGUGUAUAUGAUAUGUAGGAGC